CCACAUGACAACCGCACUUUCGGAAACCUGUCAAAGGCUAAACAAUACUCAAUCAUUAUGGGGAUCCCCCAUUUUCAAGCCAAAUUCCACCCCAAAUUCUCCCGCCACCCGCGCCUUUUCACAACGAGCAAUGUUCAUGUCUGAAAAUGCAAAUUGCAGACAAUCAAUGACCACAGGCAACAAAGGGCCAGCCAGAUACACCAGAUACACCACCACCCAGCAGUGCCAAGGAAAGCCCAACCCAAUCAGGUGUUGAGCUAGUGUAAUUUAUGCCUGGUCUGCUUCAAUUGUUUGUUGGAUCCAAGCAUAUCGGGCCGUCUGGCAAAUUAAAGUCCUUGGAAUCCUUGUGAGUGGAAACUGGAAUUCCGAGAGACUGGCAAAUAAUUAAUGCCCUACACAAUGUGCAAGAUGGGGCGAUGUUUUGGGGGUGAGUAGACAGAGGAACGGUUUAGACACGCUCUUGGCACUUUGCGGUUGCACUUGAUUCGCUUGCGUAAUGCAACAAAGAUGCAUCUAACUUAAUUAGCAACCAAAUGGCAAGAAGGAGACCUCCGCACUCUGAAAUCGGAUUUCUUGGCCAAUGCUUUGGGGUUUCUUUGGUUUUUCGGACUACCCACUCUUGACUAUCUCCUUUUGUGGCAUGUUUUCAAGUCCCCGUGUCUGACAGAUAUUUUCCGACACACAAAACAGAAUGGGAAUGGUAAAAGCAAUUAGCAAAUAAAGGGAAAUUCAAAUGAACUAGUCCUAGUCAAGGACUGACCUUGAUAAUUCCCAGCACAGAUUUUCCCAGCGAAGUUUUCACUGCUGCAGUUUAAAAAUCCCCCUCGGAAAAAGCUUAAAAACUGCACAACGAAGAGGAAAAACUUUUGCAAUAACUCUUUGCGUGGAGGGAAAAUUGUUGCUCGCUGGUCUGAAAAUCUGCGAGCAGCCAUAAAAUAUUGUUGUUACACGGGCUUUUCCCCUUGCUUGCAACCCCGGGUAUGAAAACAAAAUUAACGCAAUGCAUCGAUGUCCGAGUAAGUCCGGCGGAUUGGAAGAGCCAGAACGGGGCGUGAAAACCGCGUAAUAAUAAAAUAUGAUACGAAAACCUUGUAAAGCGACUUUCAGACAAUUUAUAACGGCCAGCUGCAGUCGGAGGACGAAGGAAAACUGGGGUUUUGAACCCCUCUUCCGUUUGGUUUUCCAUUUAAGAGUAGGGAUUGGCAAAAAUAAGGGGGGCAAAACACAAUGUAAUAGUGUGAUAUUGGAUUUGGCAAAGCCAAUAGCAUAACAUGUGCGGAAUAAUUGAAGGAAACUAAGUUUGGUCUAAAUGAUACCAUUAAAGACAAACGGAAAAUGGAUUAUGAAGUUUUGAAAUGGGAUUAAGCUAGUACAGUAAUGAUUUAACUUUAAACUUAACCUUCACUUCUUUAAAUUCUA